rnacentral:rRNA from 1 species
GACGUAGGGGACGAACGUUGUCCGGAUUCAUUGGGCGUAAAGCGCGUGUAGGCGGCCAUGCAGGUCCGCUGUGAAAACUCGAGGCUCAACCUCGAGACGUCGGUGGAAACCGCAUGGCUAGAGUCCGGAAGAGGAGAGUGGAAUUCCCGGUGUAGCGGUGAAAUGCGCAGAUAUCGGGAAGAACACCCGUGGCGAAGGCGGCUCUCUGGGACGGUACUGACGCUGAGACGCGAAAGCGUGGGGAGCGAACAGG